UACGUAGGGUGCAAGCGUUAAUCGGAAUUACUGGGCGUAAAGCGUGCGCAGGCGGCUUUGUAAGACUGACGUGAAAUCCCCGGGCUCAACCUGGGAAUGGCGUUGGUGACUGCAAGGCUAGAGUUUGGCAGAGGGGGGUAGAAUUCCACGUGUAGCAGUGAAAUGCGUAGAUAUGUGGAGGAACACCGAUGGCGAAGGCAGCCCCCUGGGUCAAAACUGACGCUCAUGCACGAAAGCGUGGGGAGCAAACAGG
rnacentral:rRNA from 1 species